CGGCAUGCCUUACACAUGCAAGUCGAACGGCAGCACGGGAGCAAUCCUGGUGGCGAGUGGCGAACGGGUGAGUAAUGCAUCGGAACGUACCUUUCAGUGGGGGAUAACGUAGCGAAAGUUACGCUAAUACCGCAUAUUCUGUGAGCAGGAAAGCAGGGGAUCGCAAGACCUUACGCUGAUUGAGCGGCCGAUGUCAGAUUAGCUAGUUGGUGAGGUAAAGGCUCACCAAGGCGACGAUCUGUAGCGGGUCUGAGAGGAUGAUCCGCCACACUGGAACUGAGACACGGUCCAGACUCCUACGGGAGGCAGCAGUGGGGAAUUUUGGACAAUGGGGGCAACCCUGAUCCAGCCAUGCCGCGUGAGUGAAGAAGGCCUUCGGGUUGUAAAGCUCUUUCGGCCGGGAAGAAAUCGUAUGGGCUAAUACCCUGUGCGGAUGACGGUACCGGCAUAAGAAGCACCGGCUAACUACGUG
rnacentral:rRNA from 1 species